AAUGCCUUUAUUAAUAUAAAUUCCAAUGAGAUUGAAUUUACAUAUAAAUAAAAAUGACCAAUCUAAUUGGUGCGCCGGGUGUAACUCUUUCAAUCUCCCACUCGCCCUAGCACCAAUCACCCGCGUAUCUUAGACCCAUCUUCUCAAGAUGUCCUUCGAAUACCUUUUGUGACAACGGUUUAGUAAGUGGAUCUGCUACAUUUUCUGCUGAAGCAACUCGCUCCACAACGACAUCACCUCUACCAAUGAUUUCUCGAAUCAAGUGGUAUCUUCGCAUAAUGUGUUUGGAUCUUUGAUGAGAUCUUGGUUCUUUAGCUUGCGCAAUAGCUCCAUUGUUAUCACAGUAUAUAGGUACUGGAUCAACAACUUAAGGAACGACACCCAACUCUUGAAUGAAAUUCCUUAUCCAAAUAGCUUCUUUCGCAGCAUCUGAUGCAGCAAUAUAUUCAGCUUCUAUGGUGGAAUCAACAACUAUUUCUUGUUUAGAACUUUUCCAACAUAUUGCUCCACCAUUUAAAGUGAAUAUAAACCCUGACAUAGACUUGGAGUCAUCUUUAUCAGACUGAAAACUAGAGUCGGUGAAACCCUCUAGUUUCAGUUCCCCACCUCCAUAGAUAAAAAAAAAUCCUUAGUUCUUCUCAAGUACUUAAGGAUUGAUUUUACGACCUUCCAGUGCUCUUCGCCUGGAUUAGACUGAUAUCUACUCGUGACACUCAGAGCAUGUGCGACAUCAGGUCUUGUACAUAGCAUAACGUACAUAAUGCUCCCUAUUGCAGAAGCAUAAGGCACACGUGUCUAGUUUUUCUCUCCCUUCAGGUGUCUGAGGAGACAUAGCUUUAGUGAGAGAAACACCAUGACUCAUUGGCAAGAAUCCACGUUUGGAUUCUUCCAUGCUAAACCUUUUUAACAUUUUGUCUAUGUACAUGGACUGAGAUAAUCCAAUCAUCCUUCUCGAUCUAUCUCUAUAGCCUUUUGCGACCAGACAAGCUUUAAAGGUAGCCACAUUUCCGUCUACUCCAAGCUUUCGCUUGAAUAUCCAUUUGCAUCCGAUAGGAAUUAUUCCAUUUGGUAGAUCCACCAAGAUCCAUACCUCGUUAGAGUACAUGGAUUCCAUUUCGGAUUGCAUAGCUUCUAGCCACUUAUCCGAGUCAAUAUCUUUAAUUGCCUCAGAAAAGGUCCUUGGAUCAUUAUCCAUAGGUUGUUCUUCCUCAAAGUUUUCCAUCAAUAAGUUCAACCUAUCAGGCGGCCUUGAAACUCUUUUGGACUUUUCACGGGGCUGUGUAUAAGAACAUACACCCUUUUCUGAUUGAGUAUUUUCUGCCACAACAGGAGUACUUUGUGGUUCUUGAGUUUCAUCAAGUUCUACAAUCUUAUUACUUGUGUUACACAGAAAUUCUUCCUCAAGGAAAGUAGCAUUUCUCGAAACAAACACCUUUUGUUCCGAGGGAUCAUAGAAAUAAUAUCCAAUAGACUCUUUUAGAUAUCCCACAAAAUUACAUAAGAUGGAUCGCAUAUCCAACUUAUCUCCCAUUAACUGCUUCACAUAAGCAGUGCACCCCCAUAUCCUAAGAUAUUUGUAAGAAGGUGUUUUGCCAAACCAUAAUUCAUACGGCGUUUUGGGUACAACUUUAGAUGGCACUCUAUUUAAUAGAUGUGUUGCAGUUUCUAAAGCAUAACCCCAAAAUGAAAGAGGUAAUGUAGUGAAGCCCAUCAUAGAUCGCACCAUGUCUAACAAGGUCCGAUUCCGGCGCUCAGAAACUCCAUUGAGUUGAGGAGUGCCAGGUGGCGUCCACUGUGAGAGAAUCCCAUUCUCUUUUAGAUAAUCAAGAAACACACCGCUUAAGUAUUCACCUCCUCGAUCAGAUCGAAGAGUUUUAAUACUAGAGCCAGUUUGUUUCUCCACUUCAUGUCUAAAUUCUUUGAACUUUUCAAAUACUUCAGAUUUGUGCCUUAAGAGGUACACAUAACCAUACCUAGAGUAGUCGUCGGUAAAAGUUACGAAAUAGUGAUAGUUCCCACGAGCACCCACACUUAGUGGUCCACAAACAUCUGUAUGGAUCAAAUCCAAAAUAUGUUGUGAUCGUUCCACUUGUCCCACAAAUGGUGAUUUGGUCAUCUUUCCUUUGAGACAAGAUUCACAAGUUGCCAUCCUUUCCUCGGUUGAAAAACCAAGCAAUUGAGACAAUUGAUUCACCCUUCUCUCAGAAAUAUGACCCAAUCUUGAGUGCCAAAGAUCUAUGGAACUACGAUCAUCUAAUUUUCUUUUACUUUGUUGAACAUGCAAAACAGGGUUUCGAGGCAUAAUAGUAUAAAGACCAUUAACCAAUACACUAGAAUAGAUUAAAGAAGCAUCUUUAAAGAUAGAACAUAUUCCACCCUUUAUUGAAAAUUCAUAACUUUCUCUAUCCAAAACUGGAAUAGAGACGAUGUUCUUAAUCAAACUAGGUACGUAAAAGCAAUUGUUCAAAACAAUCUCAAAACCACUAUCAAGAGCUAAGUGAACAGUUCCUACAACUAAGGCAGCAACUCUUGCUCCAUUGCCCAUGCGUAGAACCGUCUCCCCUUUGCUCAACUUCUUAGUUUCCACCAUCACCUGUAAAUCAUUACAAAGAUGUGAUGAACAACCGGUAUCCAAUACCCACGAAGCAUCGUUAACAGAUAAGUUAACUUCAACAUAGUACAUACCUGAACAUUUCAGGCUUGCAAGAUAUUCUUUGCUAAUUCCUCUUUCCAAUGACCAGGUCUUGUUGCAGAAUGACAACAUCUUUGGAUUGAGAACUUUCCCCUUUCUUUUUCCCAACUCCCACCCUGUGCCUUCAACUUGUUUGGUUUAGAUGAACCUUUCAUCUUCCCCUUCCACUUCCCUUCCCCUUGUUAGUCUUGGCCUUGUGAGCUUUCGACGAGGAGGAGGAACCAACAAGAAGAACCGGCUUGUCCUUUUUCAUAGUGGACUCCGCCGUCACAAGCAUAUUGACAAGUUCAGGAAGACUAGUAGUCAUGCUAUGCAUAGUGAAGUUGACGACAAAAGUGUCAAAUGAUGGUGGCAAAGACUGCAACAUGAGAUCAGUUUGCAGUUCAGCUUCUAUCUCGACUCCAAGAGAUCCCAACCUUUCCAUGAGAGCUAUCAUCUUCAGCCCAUGAGUUUGGACCGAAGAGCCCUCAGUCAUACGACAUUGGAAAAGUUCCUUAGAUAUCGUAUAUCUUUGUUGUCUAACACUUUCUCCGUACAACCUUUGUAAACGGAGAAGGACCUCAUAAGCCGAAGCCACACCUUCAUUUUGCCUUUGAAGUUCAUUUGACAUCGAUGCUAGCAUGUAGCAACGAACCUGCAAAUCGUCAUCCACAUGACUUUGGUACUUCGUAAGCACCGCUUCUUCAGCGUCAUCAGCAGGUUUUUCAGGCAUUGGGGCAUCCAAGACAUAAGCCNAGAAAUAUGUUUGUGGAGUUAGAUGAGUCGGUAAGUGGCAACGUCUCCUUUGGUGAUGAAUCUAAAAUUCCAGUUAAAGGAAAAGGGAAAAUUUUAAUUCGCUUGAAGAAUGGAAAUCAUGAAUUUAUUUCCAACGUUUAUUACGUGCCCAAUAUGAAAAAUAAUAUAUUGAGUUUGGGACAACUCUUAGAGAAAGGUUAUGAUAUUCACAUGAGAGAUUAUAACCUUUCAAUAAGAGAUGGCAAAAAUAAUCUUAUUGCCAAGGUGCCAAUGUCGAAAAAUAGAAUGUUUCUAUUGAAUAUUAGAAAUGAUGUGGCCAAAUGCUUGAAAGCUUGCUAUAAAGAUCCGUCUUGGUUAUGGCACCUACGGUUUGGGCACUUAAAUUUUGGCGGCUUGGAGUUGCUAUCAAAGAAAGAGAUGGUGCGAGGCCUACCAUCCAUCAAACAUCCCGAUCAACUCUGCGAAGGUUGUCUACUCGGGAAGCAGUUCAGAAAGCCAUUCCCAAAGGAGUCAAGCUCAAGAGCUCAAAAGCCACUGGAGUUAAUUCACGCUGAUGUGUGCGGGCCAAUCAAGCCAAGCUCCCUCGGUAAAAAUAAUUAUUUUCUGCUCUUCAUUGAUGAUUUUUCUAGAAAAACGUGGGUAUAUUUCUUGAAGCAGAAGUCGGAAGUAUUUGAUGCAUUCAAGAAAUUCAAAGCUGCCGUCGAGAAGGAGAGCGGACGACAAAUCAAGGCCCUGAGGUCCGAUCGAGGCGGAGAAUUCACGUCAAGGGAGUUUCUAGAAUUUUGCGAAGUAAAUGGAAUUCGGCGGCCCCUGACAGUUCCGAGAUCCCCCCAACAAAAUGGAGUGGCGGAAAGAAAAAAUAGGACAAUUAUGGAGAUGGCGAGGAGCAUGCUAAAGACGAAGAAUCCGUCUAAAGAGUUUUGGGCCGAAGCUGUGGCGUGCGCAGUGUAUCUAUCCAACCGAUCGCCGACAAGGAGCGUGUGGGGAAUGACUCCACAAGAAGCCUGGAGCGGGAGAAAGCCAGGAAUUUCCCACCUAAAGGUAUUUGGGAGCAAAGCCUACGUGCAUGUACCAGAUGAGAGAAGGAAGAAGCUCGAUGAUAAAAGUGAAACAUUCAUCUUUAUCGGGUACGACUCUAACUCCAAAGGCUAUAAGUUAUAUAAUCCAAAUACCAAGAAAACAGUGAUAAGUCGAGAUGUGGAGUUCGACGAAGAAGGAGUGUGGGAUUUUAAUCCCAGUGGUGACUUCACCUUCAUCCCACAAUUCGAUGAUGAAAGGACAGUCGAGCAAGUUGGAGAAGUCCAACAAGAGGUAGUGACUCCGCCAGCUUCACCUAUACAAGUUACUGAAGACUCGCCACCAUCUUUCUUAAAUGAAAGAGCUACACCACGAGCAAGGAAUUUGGAUGAGAUAUAUGAAGACACUGAAAGGUUAGAAGAUCUCACCUUGUUUUGCCUAUCUGCUGAUUAUGAACCUAAAGCAGCAAAUAGUGAAAAUUGGCGAGUUGCAAUGGACGAAGAGAUCAAAGCUAUAAACAAGAAUGAUACGUGUGAGCUCGUGACACUACCGGAAAGGCACAAGGCCAUUGGAGUCAAGUGGGUGCAUAAGGUUAAGAAGAAUUCCAAAGGUGAAGUUGAAAGAUAUAAAGCAAGGCACGUCGUGAAAGGAUUUCGCCAAAUUCAGAAGUUUGCUCGGAAUGAAAAAUCAAGUUUAAGGGGGAGUGUUGGAAUAUAAAAAUAAACUUGAUUUUUUGAGUGAAGAUAUUUUAAAGAAAAAUAUAGAAAAAUUCUAGAAAAAGUAAAGUGAAAGAUAUUUUGUAUUAGAAAAUAUCUAGAAUCAAGAUAUUUUAGCAUGUCAACAUUAUGAGCGGAAAUCUAAAAAUAAUGUUUACUAUAGAUACGCUUGAUAUUUAGUAUUUAAAGAACUAAAACUAUCGAAGAGUGUAAAUUCUCACUUAAUUCAUAUAGUGUACAAUGUAGAAAUGAGUGAAGAAAAAAUUGUUAGCAAUCAGACCAUUAUAAUAACUCCACGUCACACAAUAAUUCUCUACAAUAUUAAUCCAUAUAUACUAUACCAAGCACAAAUUGUGUUCAAAUUAGUAUAACUGAUAUUUGUUGAAUUUUAUAAUUCAAAAAUAUCAAUUUUGUACUUAUAUACGAGUCUCGUGCAUAUGAUUGUUUUUGUGGUUGAUGAUGAGGUCAUCUGAUAAAAUAUGUUGACAUGAAAUUGUUGGGAUCGGGUCGAAAAACGCAGCGGAAAUAAUUUUUUUCGAAAUUAUAAAUGAAAUAACUAUUAUUUCAUUCCAACGGCAUUAACGACUUCACGUUAACAUGAUGAGAGAGCGAGAAUAGAAUCUCAUACCUUUUCGCUCUCCGGUUGAUGUCGGGUAUGGAAGCAAUCGGUUGCUGCAGGGAUCCAAGCGUAUCCCCUCUAUCAAGUCCACACUUAGUGUUCGUGUCGAGGAAGUUUCGCUAGCAAACUAACACUAUUGUGUUGCAGAGAGAAAUCAGAGAGAGACAGCAGAGAGCUGAGCGCGAGAGCAGAGAGAGUAGAAAAUAAAAGCAGAAGACGUUAAUUUAAGGAAACCGUUCCCCAAAUUACUGCAGAUUAAUUCCCUUAAUUAUGGAAAUUAUGGAAAUUAAAAUCCUUCUGCGGUUACGUCUAGUGAACAGACGCUUUUUAUUUUCUUCUUCUCCAAUCCGGAGAAUAUCCGGAUAUCUUAUAUCCGGAUACAUUAUAUAUAUCCAAUAUAUAUAUAAUUCUGAUUUUAUUAGAUUUAAAAUUAAUCUAAUUAACUUUAUCUCUAAUUAAAUUAAUCCUAUUAAUUUAAUAUAGAAUCAGACUUGUUAAUCCGAUUAUAUUCAAUAAAACUAAUUUAAUUGAAUAUCUAAAUUAACUCAUUAAUUUAGAACAAGUCUCAAUUUAAUUAAUCAAUUAAUUAAUUGGAUUUAACUAUUAAAUCAUUCAAUCUGACACGUUACUAAUUGUGUGUGACCCUCUUAGGUUCACACAGCACAGUAAAGGUUGUAACACUUACAACUUAUUAAUUUAUCGAUAAAUUAAUUCACUUGAAAUUAACUAUUUAAUUUCAAGAACCUAUAAACCAUGGGAACAUCUAGCAAGUAGCAUGGCAUCUAGCACUGUGUGAAAUAGCGAGUAAACCUUUUUGAUUAUGAAUCGUCAUACACGUACGUCCUUCUAUCAUCUAAUUUCCCAAUUGGAUAUUGAGUAUGGAAUUAAAUCGAAAAACUCAAAUAAUCCAAUAAUCAUAUUUUCAAUUGAAUUCAAUAACUCUUUAAUGAAUCAUAAUUCAUUAUGCCCUGGCCAAGGUCUUCAAGUUAUGAACAAUGAAAACUAUAGGAAAUUCUCUUGUCUCACAAGUAAUAGAUUCUUUAUUGACCACUCAUUAAUCUCCAUAUAAGUUCAUAUUUCAUCCAACAUAAAAUCUUUAGUGAUUGACUAGCAAUCAGAAAAUAUAUCAAAAUGAAAUAGAACUAAUACAAGAUUACUAUGGUGUCUCAAGUCAAAGGACUAAUCGUAUACUAUCAUAAUAUAGUAAUUCUUAUUUCGAUAAAACAAAUUCCACAUAAGAAUUUCUAUCGGGUCAGUUCGGUGUACUUGUUCUCCAACAAGCACCCACAUAUAUACACUUACGUCAACUACGUUAAUGUUGAUGAAACGCAACAUUCUCAUCUUAUGAGUUGUAUCAUAUGUGCGAGCUAUUCCAACAAUUCAAUAUCCUUUUCUUGAAUAGUUAUUUCACUCGGAACUAUUUUAAGACCAAAGCUUUAAAGACAUAUUUCAUAAUCACCAUCAUAUGCGUGAUCAUAUCUUAUAACUCUUUAUGGUCUAAGGACUUCAUCUAAAUCGCAUAAGUUAUUAAAACAAAUACAUUAGAUAAGUAAAUGCCUUUAUUAAUAUAAAUUCCAAUGAGAUUGAAUUUACAUAUAAAUAAAAAUGACCAAUCUAAUUGGUGCGCCGGGUGUAACUCUUUCAAUCUCCCACUCGCCCUAGCACCAAUCACCCGCGUAUCUUAGACCCAUCUUCUCAAGAUGUCCUUCGAAUACCUUUUGUGACAACGGUUUAGUAAGUGGAUCUGCUACAUUUUCUGCUGAAGCAACUCGCUCCACAACAACAUCACCUCUACCAAUGAUUUCUCGAAUCAAGUGGUAUCUUC
rnacentral:lncRNA from 1 species